rnacentral:lncRNA from 1 species
UUUUUUUUUUUUAAAGACUAUAUUUAUUUAUUUGACACAGUGAGAGAGCACACAAGCAGGGGGAAAGACAGAAGCAGGCUCCCCACUGAGCAGGGAGCCUGAUGCAGGGCUCAAUCCCAGGGUCCUGGGAUCAUGACCUGAGCUGAAUGCAGAUGUUUAACUGACUGAGCCACCCAGGUGCCCUCCACCCAACAUUUAAAGAAGAGUUAAUACCUAUCAUUUUCAGCUAUUCCAAAAAACAGAAUAGGAAAGAAUGCUUCCAAAUUCAUUCUACGAGACCAGCAUUAUUCUGAUACAAAACCCAAACAGAAACAUUACCAAAAAUAUUGUAGAUUAAUAUUCAUGAUGAACAUAGAUGCAAAAAUCCUCAACAAAAUAUUCACAAACUGAAUUCAACAAUACAUUUACAAAGGAUCAUUCACCAUGAUCAAGUGGAAUUUAUUUCAGGGAUGCAAGAACAGUUCAGUUUUAACAAAAUGAAGGAUAAAAAUUCUAUGAGUAUUUCAACAGAUGCAGAAAAAAAACAUGCGGCAGAAUUCAACAUCCAUUUAUGAUAAAAAUUCUCAACAGAGUUGGUAGAGAGGGAACAUAACCCAACAUAAUAAUAGGCCAUAUAUGACAAGCCUAUAGCUAACACAGUGAAAAGCUGAAAGCUUUUCUUCUAAGAUCAGGAACAAGACAGGGAUGUCCACCCUCACCACAUUUAUUCAACAUAGUACAGGAAGUCCUAUGGAUCAGACAAGAAAAGGAAAUAAAGGCACCUACAAUAGUAAAGAAGAAAUGAAACUAUCACUAUCUGCAGGUGACAUGACACUAUAUAAAGAAAACCCUAAAGACUCCACCAAAAAAAUAUCAGAAUAAAUUAUUUAGUAAAGUUUCAGGAUAAAAAAUUAAUAUACAGAAUCUGUUGUUUCAAUAUACGAAUAAGUAUGUGAAAGAAAUUAACAAUCCUAUGUAUAAUUGCCUCAAAAAGAGUAAAAUACCAAGAAUAAAUUAAACCAAGGAGGUAGAAGACUUGCACUCUGAAAACUAUUAAGAUAGUGAUGAAAGAAGUUGAAGAUGAUACAGAUAAACAGAAAGAUAUUCUGUGCUAAUGAACUGGAAGAAUAAUGUUAAAAUGUCCAUACCAACCAAAGCAAACUACAGAUUUGGUACAAUCCCUAUCAAAAUGCUAAUAGUAUUUUUCAUGAACUAAAAGCAAAUAAUUCUAAAAUUUGUAUGGAAAAACAAAAUACCCCAAACAGCAAAAGCAAUCUUGAGAAAGAACAAAGCUGGGGGUAUCACGCUUCUUUAUUUCAAACUAUAUUACAAAUCUAUCAUGUUAAAAACAGUAUGGUAUUGGCAUAAAAAAGAUACAUUACCUAUUGAACAGACUAGAGAGCCCAGAAAUAAACUCACAUUUAUAUGGUGAAUUAAUCUAUGAUAAAGAACACAAGAAUAUAGAAGAGAAAGUCUCUUCAAUAAAUGCUGCUGGGAAAACUGGAGAGCUACACCCACACACAAAAAUAAACUCAAAAUGUAUUAAAGACCUAAAUAUGAGACCUGAAACCAUAAAACUGCUUAAAGAAAACAGAGGUGGUAAACUUCUGGACAUUGGCCCCAGAAAUAUUUUCCUGGAUCUGUGCCUUCAGACAAGGGAAAUAAAAGUAAAAAUAAAUAACUGAGAUUACAACCAAUGAAAAGGAGGGACACCUGGGUGGCUCAGUGGUUGAGUGUCUGCCUUUGGCUCAGGGUGUGAUCCUGGAGUCCUGGGACUGAGUCCCACCUUGGGCUCCCUGCAUGGAGCCUGCUUCUCUCUCUGCCUAUGUCUC